AUACUUUCCGAUAUUUUACCCUUAGAGUUUACAAAACGAAGGAGCGCAAUUUCGAGGAGUUAUAUGCGAGCACUCGGGCGCUCGAGCACUCAAUACCUUCAACAGCUAGAGUGCGUGCAGCAUUCUUGGCAGAUACGGUGGAACCGAUUUUUGGUAGCUUUACAGACAGCCCCUGACCAAAGCCAAAGCCAGCGCCAGCGCCAACUUAGCUUGAUCUGGGACGACAUGCAGCUGGAAGAGCGACUGUCAAUGUUCGUUGCAAAAUUUUCAAUGCAUGUGGAGGUGCAGUUUUCGCUGGCAUUGUUACGCUAACAAUCGGCACCCAGCAACACGCGCAGUAAUGGGCACAUAAAAAUUUACACGCGCGUUCAGAUCGUUUGUUGUUAUAAACCGUCUAUUACACAGGCAAACUCGCACAUACCAACACAAAUGCAUAGCGGCAUUUUAAUUUGGUUAUCCUUUUAAAAGCAAAGCGGAGCAUAAAUGUUAACAUUAAAUUAGGCUCAUCCAAACUAGCAAGAACACCAAAUUUUCGUAGUCGAAUGCAAGCGAUAUGAAAAUGCAAUGAAAUCGAAGGCACGAACCGGCGCGGUUCUUUGUUAACAGGGUGAUAAUAAAAACAGCUACGACCGGAAAUCACUGCGCCCCUGGUUAAACAGGAAACGUAUGAUCUGCAUAUGGUACGUUUGCGCCAAAAGGUAUGCAUCAGAAAAAUGCUCACUCAUUGAAAUGCUGCAGAAACCAAAAUUGUACAACUAAGGGCACUCGAUGAAUUUAGCAACACAAAUUAACCGACUUAUAAAUUAUGGAAACAGCAAAUAUAAUAAUAAAGAAGCGUCGGCAAAGCACCGACUACAUUUCUGUGUGAACGUUUAAUACCGGUUAGAGUAUUUGUAGUAUGUAAUGAAAUGAAGCUUUUUGUUGUAAAUUUAACACUUUCAUAGUUUGGGUUAUUAAGAAUUAGGGCGUCGGAAAAGUAAAUGCUCUAUCUAAUAUUGUAGAGUUUCCGUUCAUAUGUAUGUAUGUAUGUAUGUAUAUUAAUAUAACAUUUUUCACAUUCGUUUUUGUAGAUAAGCUUUGCACAUUUAGAUGUUGCGUUUGGAUUUUUUCGUGUUUUUUUUCCUUUAUU